rnacentral:rRNA from 1 species
GACGAACGCUGGCGGCGUGCUUAACACAUGCAAGUCGAACGGAAAGGCCCUGCUUUUGUGGGGUGCUCGAGUGGCGAACGGGUGAGUAACACGUGAGUAACCUGCCCUUGACUUUGGGAUAACUCCAGGAAACUGGGGCUAAUAUCGCAUAGGAGCUCUUGCUGCAUGGUGGGGGUUGUAAAGUUUCGGCGGUUUGGGACGGACAUGAGGUUUAUCAGCUUGUUGGCGGGGUAGUGGCGUACCAAGGCUUGGACGGGUAGCCGGCCUGAGAGGGUGACCGGCCCCAUAGGCAGUGGGGUAGGGCCCAAACGCCUUCGGGAGGAAGCAGUGAGAGAUAUUGCACAAAAGGCGGAAGCAGGAAGCAGCAACGCCGCGUCCGAAAAGACGGCCUUCGGGUUAUAACCCGCGUUCGCCUGUAAAGAAGCGUAAGUGACGGUAAUGGGUAAGAAAGCACCGGCUAACUACGUG